UACGUAGGUGACAAGCGUUGUCCGGAUUUACUGGGCGUAAAGAGCGCGCAGGCGGUCGUUCAAGUCGAGUGUGAAAGCCCCCGGCUCAACUGGGGAGGGUCACUCGAUACUGAUCGACUCGAAGGCAGGAGAGGGAAGUGGAAUUCCCGGUGUAGUGGUGAAAUGCGUAGAUAUCGGGAGGAACACCAGUGGCGAAGGCGACCCCCUGGUUGGAUACUGACGCUGAGACGCGAAAGCGUGGGGAGCAAACAGG
rnacentral:rRNA from 1 species